UAACAUCGGUUUUAUGAAAAUCAAUGUUAACGAAGUGACUCUAACAUCGGUUUUCAAGAAAAUCGAUGUUAUAGUCGAUUCGUUAACAUCGAUUUUCAGAAAACCGAUGUUA
rnacentral:pre_miRNA from 1 species